UACGUAGGGGGGCAAGCGUUGUCCGGAAUCAUUGGGCGUAAAGAGCGUGUAGGCGGCUCGAUAAGUCUGCUGUGAAAGUCCAGGGCUCAACCCUGGAAGGCCGGUGGAAACUGUCGGGCUAGAGUACGGAAGAGGCGAGUGGAAUUCCUGGUGUAGCGGUGAAAUGCGCAGAUAUCAGGAGGAACACCAAUUGCGAAGGCAGCUCGCUGGGGACGUUACUGACGCUGAGACGCGAAAGCGUGGGGAUCAAACAGG
rnacentral:rRNA from 1 species